UUAUCAUUAAUCCCCAAAAUUAAUAUUUUAAAUAAACUACCUCCUG
rnacentral:tRNA from 1 species